rnacentral:rRNA from 1 species
GUCUAUGGUCAUACCACUCUGAAGGUGCCUGAUCUCAUUCUCAGAAGCUAAGCAGGUUUGGGCCUGGUUAGUACUUGGAUGGGAGAAAUAGCAGGAAAAAAGAGAAA